rnacentral:rRNA from 1 species
UGGGGAAUAUUGCACAAUGGGCGCAAGCCUGAUGCAGCCAUGCCGCGUGUGUGAAGAAGGCCUUCGGGUUGUAAAGCACUUUCAGCGAGGAGGAAGGUGGUGAACUUAAUACGUUCAUCAAUUGACGUUACUCGCAGAAGAAGCACCGGCUAACUCCGUGCCAGCAGCCGCGGUAAUACGGAGGGUGCAAGCGUUAAUCGGAAUUACUGGGCGUAAAGCGCACGCAGGCGGUUUGUUAAGUCAGAUGUGAAAUCCCCGGGCUCAACCUGGGAACUGCAUUUGAAACUGGCAAGCUAGAGUCUCGUAGAGGGGGGUAGAAUUCCAGGUGUAGCGGUGAAAUGCGGUAGAGAUCUGGAGGAAUACCGGUGGCGAAGGCGGCCCCCUGGACGAAGACUGACGCUCAGGUGCGAAAAGCGUGGGGAGCAAACAGGAUUAGAUACCCCUGGUAGUCCACGCUGUAAAACGAUGUCGAUUUUGGAGGUUGUGCCCUUGAGGCGUGGCUUCCGGAGCUAACG